AUCAAAUCCUAGACAAAUACUAGACAAACCCUAAAUCUUAAAUCAAAUCUUAAUCCAAAUCCUAAAUCAAAUCCUAGGCAAAUCUUAAAUCCUAAAUCAAACCUUAAAUCAAAUCUUAAACUAAAUCCUAAAUCUUCAAUCAAAUCCUAAAUCAAAUUCGAGACAAAUUAAAAAUCCUAAAUCUUAAAUCAAAUCCUAAACCAAAUCUUAAUC
rnacentral:lncRNA from 1 species